CAAUAAGCGGAGGAAAAGAAACCAACAGGGAUUGCCCUAGUAACGGCGAGUGAAGCGGCAACAGCUCAAAUUUGAAAUCUGGCUACUUUGUAGUCCGAGUUGUAAUUUGUAGAGGAUGCUUUUGGUGAGGUGCCUUCCGAGUUCCCUGGAACGGGACGCCAUAGAGGGUGAGAGCCCCGUACGGUUGGAUGCCAAACCUUUGUAUAGCUCCUUCAACGAGUCGAGUAGUUUGGGAAUGCUGCUCUAAAUGGGAGGUAUAUCUCUUCUAAAGCUAAAUAUAGGCUAGAGACCGAUAGCGCACAAGUAGAGUGAUCGAAAGAUGAAAAGCACUUUGAAAAGAGAGUUAAACAGCACGUGAAAUUGUUGAAAGGGAAGCGCCUAUGACCAGACUUGUCUCUAUCAGUUUUGCUAGUUUUCGGACUGGUUUACUCUGUUAGUACAGGCCAGCAUCAGUUUGUUGUUGGGGAGAAAGGCUUAGGGAAUGUGGCUCCUUCGGGAGUGUUAUAGCCCUUUGCAUAAUACCUUUCGACAGACUGAGGACCGCGCUUCGGCAAGGAUGCUGGCGUAAUGG
rnacentral:rRNA from 1 species